rnacentral:tRNA from 1 species
CGGGAAGUAGCUCAGCUUGGUAGAGCACUUGGUUUGGGACCAAGGAGUCGCAGGUUCAAAUCCUGUCUUCCCGA